UACAGAGGUCUCAAGCGUUGUUCGGAUUCAUUGGGCGUAAAGGGCGCGUAGGCUGCGGGGCAAGUCGGGUGUGAAAUCUCAGAGCUCAACUCUGAAACUGCACUCGAUACUGCUUUGCUCGAGGACUGGAGAGGAGAUUGGAAUUCACGGUGUAGCAGUGAAAUGCGUAGAGAUCAUGAGGAAGACCAGUGGCGAAGGCGGGUCUCUGGACAGUUCCUGACACUGAGACACGAAGGCCAGGGGAGCAAACGGG
rnacentral:rRNA from 1 species